rnacentral:lncRNA from 15 species
GAAAGUCCUUAAUUUAACGAUUUAAGGUCAGAAUCAGAAUCAGAAUCAGAUUUAUUGCCAGGUAGGUUUUUGCACAUACAAGGAAUUCGUCUUAGUGCAGUGGUGCAUAAAAUAUACAAUCACACACAAAAAAUACUUUUAAAAUAUAUAUAAAUAAAGAUAAGAAACUGUACAGAAAAGGUGGAACUGUCAAUGACUCUGAGAGAGAAAAACACUGGCGGUUGUUCUGCUGGCCACACCCAGAUCUAACCUGUUCUGUCAAUAUCAAACACAUAUCACAUUUAAAAAGACACGAGGUUUGCGUGCAGCACUAAACACACCCACAUUCAUAUGGCACCUUAUAAAUACAGACUGAACACACCCAUUAGACACGAGUCAUUUUUAUUUCUGCUCCAGGUAUGUAGUAGGUUUGUUUGAUUAUUUCUAAUGACUGCUAGAAACAUAAUGAUUCAAAUUAUAAGAUGCUUUCUUUCAUAUUUUUUUCCCUAGGAAAUAACUUUUGCCGGCAACUUGUCAACCAGACAAAAUGAGUGAACGUAAGUCUCUUUGAUUAACUGUUGUAUCUUUUAAGAAUAAUUUGGAAUAUGAUAUAUGAUAUAUGAUUAUUACCGUAGGCUGAGAAUACUGUGCUUAAUGCAUUUGUGCACUUAAAGUGCUCACCUGACCUGAUUCAUUCAUUUGUGCAUCUUGUCCACAUUUGAGAAUAGUAUGUCAAAUCCCUCCUUGGGCUUUGGUGUUUGGUUUAAUAUCAUUAAGAUUUUUAAUGUUUUGAUUGUUUAUUUCCAUUUUGCUAUUCUACAUGAACAGACACUUUACCACUGAAUAUUGACCGGAGAAAAUCUGUUUAGCUUCUGGGGGCAUUUGAUGACAGAUAAUUAUACAUUUUGGAAUGUUUCAUGUUAGUUUGCACAUUUUUGAUUUUAUUUUUUAUUUUGUGUCUCUUCAUCACAGCAAGCACAGUGGAGGAGGUGGCAGACCAAGUGGAGGAGGAACAGGACUCCUCAGGAUCCGAGUCAGACGGAGUAAGACAUGUUUCAUCUUCCUAAAGAGUGCUUUCUGCUGUUUUUCAUCACUGUCUGAUUCAACUUUGUAAUGCUUGUGUGUUAAUUUCUCAUUAUCUUUUACAGAAAGGAGGAAGGCAAAAAAAGGUAGGAGUUUUGUAACCUUUUUGAAUUAAAAUGACGUCAGCAUUUAUCUCUGUGUUUUAAGAAAAUGUGUCUACCGCAUACAUAUUUAUAUUGUAUCUAUAUUGUUUACAGGAGAAAAAAGGAGGAAAAGGAGGAAAAGGACGUGGAAGUGAAAUGAAGGAGAAGCAUGGUGGCGGUGGUGGCGGUGGUGGUCGUGGUGGUCAUGGCGGUGGUCGUGGAGGUCAUAAUAAAUGAAGAGGAAAGAAAGAAAUCCUUGAAUCACCAUUCUGUGACAAUGAUUUUAAAGAAUUAAACACGUCUUUAAUAAACUGAUCCAGAAAAAGGCAUGACUGGUUUUUUGAUUAUUUUUCACAAAUAUAACUUCAGUGGCAGAUUAACACAUUUAUCCAAAACAGAUUCACUUUUAUAGCUCCAUUCGUUCACAACUCAACAAGUCUUAAGCCUCAGUAACUUGAGAUAGGUAAACAUGGAUAGUUGGCUGAUGACCGAGGGCAGUGUUUCACAAAGGGUCAUGAUGAUGUGGGUUUGUUAUGAAUAUUUUAGCCAUUACAGCAACAUCAUAUGGUUAAUAAAUGGAGAACCUCUGCAUAGGAUGAACAGUUAAGUUGGUGAAAUACAAUGUGGUAAAGCAGACACUUUCUAAGUGUUUCUAUUGGAAUGGAAGGAAAGCCAGAGGAGAAUAUCUUCUGACCAGAUUGACAUGAAAUUGACUUUGUAGAUCACCAACUAAGGGCCCCACGUUUAACAUUUGCAAAUGGGUUUGUGCUUUUCAAUUUAAAUUGGUCUGGGAAUAUGCCCCAAUAAAUUCACUUAAUUAAGGUUGUUUCUGCUUUAUUUCCAAUCUUGUUUAAAGGUCUGUGUGUCAAAAUCUUGUAUUAAAGGAAUAGGGGUUUUUAUGGGGGGAAAUGUUAUUUGCUUGCUUGCUAAGAGUUUAAAUUAUAUAAAACUGCCUCCAGCACUCUGCCAGCUUAGCUUAGCAUAAAGACUCUAAACAAAGGGGUAACAGCUGGUUUGGCUUUGUCAACAGGUAACAAAAUUGACUGGCAACUUUAAAUACAAACUAACACAUUUUAUCUUAUGCGUCUGAUUAUGAAUUGUUCAACCAUGGAGGUACCAUAUUUUGAAAACUUUCCUCGAACUUUACUACUUUGAAUACUACAGUGCAUAUUCAGUGGGUUGCAUAACCAGGAAGUCCUAAACUUUUUUGGAGUAUGCACCAGGUGAGCAGUUGAAUAGCUAUCUUGGCAUCCGGUAUCUAGUUCUAUUAUAUAUCUACGGAUAAAAGGCUUUAUGCCAAGCUAAGCUAACCGGAUGCUGGCGGCAUAGACUGUAUGAAUAAAAAUAAACGUAGUCUCUGUGACAUCACCUGUAGUUUUCUAAAGAGCCAUUGUCCUCCUGACUGAGUUGGCUCCAUCCUAAUCCAAAAAUGUGAUUCAAAAGAAAAGAUUUUGAGCAUGGGUGGAGCAGAGGCGGGCCAAAUGAAGCCGGGUUGCUGAAACCGGGCAUCUAUGAUGACACCCACCUGUCAUUCAUUUCACCCCUUAAGACCAUUUUUUUUUCAUAUAUGCUGCAUAUUAAAUUAAAUUAAAAUCAAAUUACCAUGAAGAGGCUCAGUUGUAUUCCAGUACAGACAAACUUAACAUAUUGCACAGUGAAUGGGAGGAAAAUCCUGAUGAUUUUGAUGACUGUUCCUUGACUGACCUUUCCUGUAGCCAACUUUAACAUGGCACACAAAAUAGUUCACGAUAGGCAGUUUAAUAAGAAAUUUCCUACACAUCAGUCCUCCCAAAAGCUGUUUUGCUUUUAAUUACACAGAGGCCUUUCCUCUACUACCAUCCUCAAGACAAACUUUACAAUCAUUAAUCUACAAACAUAAUACCUUCCCUCCAUAAUAAGCAGCUCAGUGUCAGCUGUAACGAUAAAAAUGGUCAGGGGUAUCCAGCUGUUUGUCUUUUUCAAUGCAGUUUUUAUGCAACAUGUACCACAGAGUGUGCUGUUUCUAGCAGGAAAAUCUCUUUUCUCACACUGUUGCUCUGCAUUUUCCUCAGUGUGCUGUCAUGACAUAAACACUACCAUCAGAUGCAUCUAAGCCUGCUGGUAUUUCAUUUCCCUUUGGGCCUACACCAUUCUCUACACAGCCGCAUUGUUGUGAAGAGAGAAUGAGUCACUGUUGAAUGCCAAAGGUCUGAUCUCAUCUGUUACUUCUGAAUGCUCUGACGCACUCCUCUUUGAGAUGACAUCAGGAGUGUUUAUGCUUUACUGAUAGAUUGAGAGUGGCCAUGAUGAACCAGAAUCACCUUGCUGCUCUGAGCAAUGCAGGAGUCCUCCAAAGACUGUGGGCUCAUCUGAAUCUCUCCACCACCAAUCAGACUCUCACACAGACUUCCUGUAGGUCCCGCCAUCACUGACAUGCCAUUACUUACACGUGAAUGUGUCUUAGAAGCGUCACUGUCUUCUUUAAAGGCAUACUAUGCAAGAUUUGUACCUUAAUAUAACAGCUUCUAAGUCAUUUUGAUGGUAAACGAACUCGUAGUAUAGCGAAUCCUACCGAUAGCAACGCUGGGGAGGGACCCUGCUGGCA